rnacentral:rRNA from 1 species
AACGCGUAUGCAACCUACCUCAAUCAGGGGGAUAGCCCGAAGAAAUUCGGAUUAACACCGCAUAAAAUCACAGGAUAGCAUUAUCUAAUGAUCAAAUAUUUAUAGGAUUGAGAUGGGCAUGCGUGUCAUUAGUUAGUUGGCGAGGUAACGGCUCACCAAGACCACGAUGACUAGGGGAUCUGAGAGGAUGACCCCCCACACUGGUACUGAGACACGGACCAGACUCCUACGGGAGGCAGCAGUAAGGAAUAUUGGUCAAUGGAGGCAACUCUGAACCAGCCAUGCCGCGUGCAGGAAGACAGCCCUCUGGGUCGUAAACUGCUUUUAUUCGGGAAUAAACCUACUUACGUGUAAGUAGCUGAAUGUACCGAAGGAAUAAGGAUCGGCUAACUCCGUGCCAGCAGCCGCGGUAAUACGGAGGAUCCAAGCGUUAUCCGGAUUUAUUGGGUUUAAAGGGUGCGUAGGCGGCUUAUUAAGUCAGGGGUGAAAGACGGUGGCUCAACCAUCGCAGUGCCCUUGAUACUGAUGAGCUUGAAUACACUAGAGGUAGGCGGAAUGUGACAAGUAGCGGUGAAAUGCAUAGAUAUGUCACAGAACACCGAUUGCGAAGGCAGCUUACUAUGGUGUUAUUGACGCUGAGGCACGAAAGCGUGGGGAUCAAACAGGAUUAGAUACCCUGGUAGUCCACGCCCUAAACGAUGAAUACUCGCUGUUAGCGAUACACAGUUAGCGGCUAAGCG